ACGGAGGGUGCGAGCGUUAAUCGGAAUUACUGGGCGUAAAGCGCGCGUAGGCGGUUUGGUAAGUCGGAUGUGAAAUCCCCGGGCUUAACCUGGGAAUUGCAUUCGAUACUGCCUGACUAGAAUGUGAUAGAGGUAAGUGGAAUUCCCGGUGUAGCGGUGAAAUGCGUAGAUAUCGGGAGGAACAUCAGUGGCGAAGGCGGCUUACUGGAUCAACAUUGACGCUGAGGUGCGAAAGCGUGGGGAGCAAACAGG
rnacentral:rRNA from 1 species